GCAGAGUACAUGGAAUGGAUGUGUGUCAUUUUUUUUCUCGAAGUGCUGAAGAUAGCUGUGGUCUUUGAGACAUCUGUGCUGAAACGUAUGUUGAAAGAGGAAGAACGUUCAAGAGUCCAGAGACGACGACGGCAGACUGAGACGAGUCAACAAGGAUCAAAUACAUGUAGUUAUUGACUGCUAAAUUCUACUAGUUAUUGUCUGUUAAAUAAAACACUGUUUGAUGUUUGUUUUUUGUAUCUGUGUGUUAUAGUGCCUCUGUAAUGAAAUCAUGUUCAUGUUUGGAGCAGUUGGUCUUGUUUUGUUGAACUCUGUUACACUGACAGCAGAACUGAUCCUGAAAGCACGAAAUGGUGAGCGUGUCAUGAAGGAUAUGAGAGUCAUUGUCUUCCCUUCUGAAAGUGUUUUUGUCUUGUGUUGGCUGAUUUUACAAAUGCAUGCUUACUUGAGGAAUGUUAUAACUGGAUCUAAACACAAUCAAGGGAACUUAGAUCAAAGAGUUCAACUCAUG